rnacentral:rRNA from 1 species
AGAUGAGAUGAGUAUUCUAAGGCGCGUGAAAGAACUCUGGUUAAGGAACUCUGCAAACUAGCACCGUAAGUUCGCGAUAAGGUGUGCCGCAGUAAUGCGGUCUCAGCAAAGAGUCCCUCCCGACUGUUUACCAAAAACACAGCACUUUGCCAACUCGUAAGAGGAAGUAUAAGGUGUGACGCCUGCCCGGUGCUCGAAGGUUAAGAGGAUGCGUCAGUCGCAAGAUGAAGCGUUGAAUUGAAGCCCGAGUAAACGGCGGCCGUAACUAUAACGGUCCUAAGGUAGCGAAAUUCCUUGUCGGUUAAAUACCGACCUGCAUGAAUGGCGUAACGAGAUGGGAGCUGUCUCAACCAGAGAUUCAGUGAAAUUGUAGUGGAGGUGAAAAUUCCUCCUACCCGCGGCAAGACGGAGAGACCCCGUGGACCUUUACUACAACUUAGCACUGCUAAUGGGAAUAUCAUGCGCAGGAUAGGUGGGAGGCUUUGAAGUAUGGGCU